rnacentral:ncRNA from 1 species
GUUCGGUGUGGCGGAGGCAGAGCGGGCACGCUAGGACCCGAAAGAUGGUGAACUAUGCCCGAGCAGGAUGAAGCCAGAGGAAACUCUGGUGGAGGUCCGCAGCGAUUCUGACGUGCAAAUCGAUCGUCCGACUUGGGUAUAGGGGCGAAAGACUAAUCGAACCAUCUAGUAGCUGGUUCCCUCCGAAGUUUCCCUCAGGAUAGCUGGCGCUCAUAUGCAGUUUUAUCUGGUAAAGCGAAUGAUUAGAGGCCUUGGGGACGAAACGACCUCAACCUAUUCUCAAACUUUAAAUUGGUAAGAGGCCCGACUCGCUGGCUUGGAGCCGGGCGAUCGAAUGCGAGUGCUCAGUGGGCCACUCUUGGUAAGCAGGACUGGCGCUGCGGGAUGAACCGAACGCCGGGUUACGGCGUCCGACUCGUACGCUCAUCAGAUCCCAGAAAAGGUGUUGGUCGAUACAGACAGCAGGACGGUGGCCAUGGAAGUCGGAACCCGCUAAGGAGUGUGUAACAACUCACCUGCCGAAUCGACCAGCCCUGAAAAUGGAUGGCGCUGAGCGUGUGUUUUGGCCCAUACCCGGCCGCUGGAGCAGAGGAGGUACUUCCCCCGCCCGGGAGGUAAGCCCCAGCGAGUAGGAGGGACGCCGCGGUGAGCGCGGAAGCGACGGGCGCGAGCCCGCGUGGAGCCGCCGCGGGCGCAGAUCUUGGUGGUAGUAGCAAAUACUCAAGCGAGAUCCUUGAGGGCCGAGUGUGGAGAAGGGUUCCAUGUGAACAGCCGUUGCACAUGGGUCAGUCGAUCGUAAGCCCUAGGGUAGUUCCGCUCCGAGCGGAGGCGUCGGCCCGGAUCUUUCGGGAAUCGGGUCACGCCCCUUGGGCGAAAGGGAAUCGGGUCAAUAUUCCCGAACCCGAAGGCGGAGCCCGCCGUCCUUGCGGCGGCCGAACGCUGCGAAGCGAACGAGCCCGGAGACACUGGCC